AUUGAACGCUGGCGGCAUGCUUUACACAUGCAAGUCGAACGGUAACAGGUUAAGCUGACGAGUGGCGAACGGGUGAGUAAUGCAUCGGAACGUGCCCGGUCGUGGGGGAUAACGCAGCGAAAGCUGCGCUAAUACCGCAUACGAUCUGAGGAUGAAAGCGGGGGACCGUAAGGCCUCGCGCGAUCGGAGCGGCCGAUGUCAGAUUAGGUAGUUGGUGAGGUAAAGGCUCACCAAGCCAACGAUCUGUAGCUGGUCUGAGAGGACGACCAGCCACACUGGGACUGAGACACGGCCCAGACUCCUACGGGAGGCAGCAGUGGGGAAUUUUGGACAAUGGGCGAAAGCCUGAUCCAGCAAUGCCGCGUGCAGGAAGAAGGCCUUCGGGUUGUAAACUGCUUUUGUACGGAGCGAAAAGGCUCUCUCUAAUACAGGGGGCUCAUGACGGUACCGUAAGAAUAAGCACCGGCUAACUACGUGCCAGCCGCCGCAGUAA
rnacentral:rRNA from 1 species